AACCAACAGGGAUUGCCUUAGUAACGGCGAGUGAAGCGGCAAAAGCUCAAAUUUGAAAUCUAGUGCCUUCGGUACUCGAGUUGUAAUUUGAAGAAAGUUUCUCUGAAUAGUCCUUUAUCUAUGUUCCUUGGAACAGGACGUCAUAGAGGGUGAGAAUCCCGUGUGAUUUUGGUAACUAUUCUUUGUGAGAUUCUUUCGAAGAGUCGAGUUGUUUGGGAAUGCAGCUCUAAGUGGGUGGUAAAUUCCAUCUAAAGCUAAAUAUUGGCGAGAGACCGAUAGCGAACAAGUACAGUGAUGGAAAGAUGAAAAGAACUCUGAAGAGAGAGUGAAAAAGUACGUGAAAUUGCUGAAAGGGAAGGGCUUUAGGUUUGACUUGGUGUUUAAUAAUUCUCUUCCUUCGGGGGGAUGUUCUUGUUUUUCACUGGGCCAAUAUCAGUUUUUCGGAUAGAGUACUAAUUGGAAUGUAACCUCCCUCGGGAAGUAUUAUAGCCUUUUAACGAUCUAUUUGGGGGACUGAGGUCUGCGCUUUUGCUAGGAUAUUGGCAUAACGACCUUAAGCCC
rnacentral:rRNA from 1 species